GAGUUUGAUUCUGGCUCAGAUUGAACGCUGGCGGCAUGCUUUACACAUGCAAGUCGAACGGCAGCACAGGGAGCUUGCUCCUGGGUGGCGAGUGGCGAACGGGUGAGUAAUGUAUCGGAACGUGCCUGGUAGUGGGGGAUAACUACUCGAAAGAGUGGCUAAUACCGCAUGAGAUCUUUGGAUGAAAGCGGGGGACCUUCGGGCCUCGUGCUACUGGAGCGGCCGAUAUCAGAUUAGGUUGUUGGUGGGGUAAAGGCCUACCAAGCCUGCGAUCUGUAGCUGGUCUGAGAGGACGACCAGCCACACUGGGACUGAGACACGGCCCAGACUCCUACGGGAGGCAGCAGUGGGGAAUUUUGGACAAUGGGCGCAAGCCUGAUCCAGCAAUGCCGCGUGCAGGACGAAGGCCUUCGGGUUGUAAACUGCUUUUGUACAGAACGAAAAGUCUCUGGCUAAUAUCUAGAGAUCAUGACGUACUAGANGCAC
rnacentral:rRNA from 1 species